rnacentral:rRNA from 1 species
UACAGAGGUCUCAAGCGUUGUUCGGAUUCAUUGGGCGUAAAGGGUGCGUAGGUGGCGCUGUAAGUCGGGUGUGAAAUUUCGGAGCUUAACUCCGAAACUGCAUUCGAUACUGCGGUGCUUGAGGACUGGAGAGGAGACUGGAAUUCAUGGUGUAGCAGUGAAAUGCGUAGAGAUCAAUGAGGAAGACCAGUGGCGGAAGGCGGGUCUCUGGGACAGUU